rnacentral:tRNA from 1 species
GGUCCCGUGGUGUAAAGCACAUUAGAUUGCAAAUCUGAGGGCGCAGGCUACCCCCUGCCGGGGCUUU